UGGACAAAGACUGACGCUCAGGUGCGAAAGCGUGGGGAGCAAACAGGAUUAGAUACCCUGGUAGUCCACGCCGUAAACGAUGUCUACUUGGAGGUUGUGCCCUUGAGGCGUGGCUUCCGGAGCUAACGCGUUAAGUAGACCGCCUGGGGAGUACGGCCGCAAGGUUAAAACUCAAAUGAAUUGACGGGGGCCCGCACAAGCGGUGGAGCAUGUGGUUUAAUUCGAUGCAACGCGAAGAACCUUACCUGGUCUUGACAUCCACAGAAGAAUCCAGAGAUGGAUUUGUGCCUUCGGGAACUGUGAGACAGGUGCUGCAUGGCUGUCGUCAGCUCGUGUUGUGAAAUGUUGGGUUAAGUCCCGCAACGAGCGCAAC
rnacentral:rRNA from 1 species